AAAGUACUAAAAACUUGUUUGCCAGAGAUGGAACCUCAAAAUUAAGUGUUAGAAUACAUAAUACAUAUUGAUAAUAACUAGAUCUUCCCCGCAAAAUAUUUCCAUUGCUCAUAAACCAAGCACUUAAAUUCACAUGCUCCAAUUGUAAAUAAACCAAAGAAUUAAUCUAUCAAAUGCUAAUAUACAGUAUCAUCAUUCCUGUCCAUUUAUUGAUCUCUAAAGGACUCCUUGGACUUAGAAUUUGGCACAUAUAUGGGAGUAGGACUGUUGAUUGUUCAAGCAAGGUUAAUUGUGAACGACACAUAAGGAUGACCAUCGGCAUCGCCUCCCAAAGCUGCCAUCCCUCCCCCAACUUCAUCUUCAGAUUUCCAGUAUGCGCUGUUUGCACCGUCACACAAUCCUUCAAGGAUAGAACGCACUUUCUUCUCACCUUUCACAGAAGGAGCUAAAACACAAGCCAAGAAAGACGGUGGCAAUCCAUAUCUUAGAAUGCUCUCCGAAAAAACACGUACUGCACAAAAGUGCAUCCAGGAGCUGAAAACCUCUCCAUAACUAGUAUAGCUCCAUUGCAAAAGCGAACUUCUAAAGCUUUCUUGGUCUUGCAUUAAUCUUUCCAAUUCUUGCUUCCUACUCUCUUGUGCUUCUGGACUAUACUCAAAAUCACGAAUUUGGAAACCUUUUUCACGUGCACUUGUUCUAAAGUUGUCUGCAACACGGCAAAAUAGAGUCACCGUGUAAAGAGUAUAUUCAUUAUCCUCAUGUAACUUCUUGGAGGACCUGGGAACCUGUAAGACGCAUGCCAGACAAAUCAAGCUGCAGUAAAAAAACCAUUAUAGUAAAAUGGAAUGAAGACAUUUCAAGAAACAGUUGAGCUACAGAUAAUACAUUUAAGUAAACUUAAGUGAACUGAACUCCAAGAUAAUGACAUUACCCUAGUAAGUUAUGAUACAUGGCCUCAAGUACAAGCAUGUGAUAUGUCCAGGUGUUGGGUUUUCCUAUUUUCCAAAAUUUAAUAGACUUCCCCACCAAUUUGAAAUCAAACAGUAAAAGUUUCAUAGCCAUGUCCAAGUAUCUUCAACUAACAGUGGCAGGGUAAAAUGAACAAUUGAAGUAACUAUGCUACUAUUGAUGACAACCUUCAGAGCAGUAAUCAUUGGACUAAAAACUUACAAGCCCAAGGAAAAUAGGAAACAGAUCUUACCACAUAGCUAGUCAAUGUUUCAUAGCUUGCCAACCAGUCCUUCUGUGAAUACUUGGGGACAAUUGCAAGCAGUGUCACAAGAUGUUCAGAGGUAAUAAUAUCCUCUGGUUUCACCAAAUUGGAAAGAUCACGAACAGCUAAGCUGAAAUGUAAACAUGAGUCAUACCAGGAAUAAGAAUAAAGUACUUUUAAUAAGAAUAAAAACUUCUAUGUACCAUGAUUCUCAAACAGAUACUCAUACCUUCCACUUUGCUUUCGAUUAAUGGCAUUGAGUUGACUGCGCACAUUGUUAUACUCAGCAACACGAACCUAACAGAAAACACAAAGCUUAAAGGCCCAAACUUCCAAUCCCAUACAUGAGUCAUAACAUAGACCACAUUUACACCUUGUACAGCUGUCACCAGAUUAUUCUUGGCGAAAUAAUCAAUAAAAUACUUGUGCCUUUCACCAGUGACUUGAGAUCAUCUUCAAUCUUCGCCACUUGGGUAUGAAUACUGUCCACAAUCUCCCUUAGAGGCGACAUAGUUGGAUACUUAGCUUCAUCCCAAACAAACCUGGUGAGAUACGAAUCCACAGGCACACCAUCAACAGUCAAAGCACUGCUCUCCACACCAGACACCCUCUCCAAUUCCUCGAUCUGUCUCCUGAUCUUGUGAGACACUCCUUCUAUAAAGCUAUUUGACUUCAAAAGAUCAUCGCUGAGAGAGAGCAGAGAAUCCAGGGUUCCAACACGGAGAUUAGGAAUAUUGAACCUGUAGAGAGGAGUAUCAAAGGAAUGCUUGGAGAUUUGGUCUUGCAGACGAUUCCAUAGAGUGGAAGCAGAGUUUUGAACCUGCAGAGACACCACCCAGUAUCUUGUCGCCAUUUUUCUUCUUCUUCUGAGCUUCCUUUUGAUUUUGGAGCUUACACAGAGGGGCUUGUACUUGCAGUUAUGGAGGA
rnacentral:misc_RNA from 1 species